rnacentral:rRNA from 1 species
AGCGGAAGUUUUCGGAUGGAAGCAAUAAACCUCAGCGGCGGACGGGUGAGUAACGCGUGGGUAACCUGCCUCAUACAGGGGGAUAACAGUUAGAAAUGACUGCUAAAACCGCAUAAGCGCACAUUGUCGAGUGACAGAGUGUGAAAAACUCCGGUGGUAUGAGAUGGACCCGCGUCUGAUUAGCUAGUUGGUGAGGUAACGGCCCACCAAGGCGACGAUCAGUAGCCGGCCUGAGAGGGCGACCGGCCACAUUGGGACUGAGACACGGCCCAAACUCCUACGGGAGGCAGCAGUGGGGAAUAUUGCACAAUGGGGGAAACCCUGAUGCAGCGACGCCGCGUGAGUGAAGAAGUAUUUCGGUAUGUAAAGCUCUAUCAGCAGGGAAGAAGAAAGACGGUACCUGACUAAGAAGCCCCGGCUAACUACGUGCCAGCAGCCGCGGUAAUACGUAGGGGGCAAGCGUUAUCCGGAUUUACUGGGUGUAAAGGGAGCGUAGACGGCUGUGCAAGUCUGAAGUGAAAGCCCAGGGCUCAACCCUGGGACUGCUUUGGAAACUGUGGAGCUAGAGUGCUGGAGAGGUAAGUGGAAUUCCUAGUGUAGCGGUGAAAUGCGUAGAUAUUAGGAGGAACACCAGUGGCGAAGGCGGCUUACUGGACAGUAACUGACGUUGAGGCUCGAAAGCGUGGGGAGCAAACAGGAUUAGAUACCCUGGUAGUCCACGCGGUAAACGAUGAAUACUAGGUGUUGGAGAGCAAAGCUUUUCGGUGCCGUCGCAAACGCAAUAAGUAUUCCACCUGGGGAGUACGUUCGCAAGAAUGAAACUCAAAGGAAUUGGCGGGGACCCGCACAAGCGGUGGAGCAUGUGGUUUAAUU